GAUGAACGCUAGCGAUAGGCUUAACACGUGCAAGUCGAGGGGCAGCACGAAGAUAGUUUACUAUUUUUGGUGGCGACCGGCGCACGGGUGAGUAACGCGUAUGCAAUCUACCUCAUACAAAGGGAUAGCCCGGAGAAAUUCGGAUUAAUACCUUAUAGUAAUAAUUUUCUGCAUGGGAAUUUAUUUAAAGAUUCAUCGGUAUGAGAUGAGCAUGCGUUCCACUAGUUAGUUGGUAAGGUAACGGCUUACCAAGGCAUCGAUGGAUAGGGGAACUGAGAGGUUUAUCCCCCACACUGGAACUGAGACACGGACCAGACUCCUACGGGAGGCAGCAGUGAGGAAUAUUGGUCAAAUGGACGAGAGUCUGAACCAGCCAAGUCGCGUGAAGGAUGACUGCCCUAUGGGUUGUAAACUUCUUUUAUAUGGGAAUAAAAGGGUCUACGUGUAGACAUUUGCAUGUACCAUAUGAAUAAGCAUCGGCUAAACUCCGUGCCAGCA
rnacentral:rRNA from 1 species